rnacentral:rRNA from 1 species
UACGAAGGGGGCUAGCGUUGCUCGGAAUCACUGGGCGUAAAGCGCUCGUAGGCGGAUUUCUAAGUCAGGGGUGAAAUCCUGGAGCUCAACUCCAGAACUGCCUUUGAUACUGGGAAUCUCGAGUCCGGAAGAGGUGAGUGGAACUGCGAGUGUAGGGGUGAAAUUCGUAGAUAUUCGCAAGAACACCAGUGGCGAAGGCGGCUCACUGGUCCGGUACUGACGCUGAGGUGCGAAAGCGUGGGGAGCAAACAGG